rnacentral:rRNA from 1 species
GACGAACCGUGCGAACGUUGUUCGGAAUCACUGGGCUUAAAGGGCGCGUAGGCGGGCCGGCUAGUCUGUGGUGAAAUCCCCCGGCUCAACCGGGGAAUUGCCGUGGAUACUGCCGGCCUCGAGGAGGGUAGGGGCACCUGGAACUAGCGGUGGAGCGGUGAAAUGCGUUGAUAUCGCUAGGAACUCCGGUGGCGAAGGCGAGGUGCUGGACCCUUUCUGACGCUGAGGCGCGAAAGCCAGGGGAGCAAACGGG